AGCGCAACCCUUAUUGCUAGUUACCAUCAUUAAGUUGGGGAACGUCUAGCGAGACUGCCAGUGAUAAACUGGAGGAAGGUGGGGAUGACGUCAAAUCAUCAUGCCCCUUAUGACCUGGGCUACAAACGUGAUACAAUGGCUGAAACAAAGGGCAGCGAAGCGGUGACGUGGAGCGAACCCAAAAAGCAGUCUCAGUUCGGAUUGAAGUCUGCAACUCGACUUCAUGAAGUUGGAAUCGCUAGUAAUCGCAGAUCAGAACGCUGCGGUGAAUACGUUCUCGGGGUUU
rnacentral:rRNA from 1 species